rnacentral:rRNA from 1 species
CAGCAGCCGCGGUAAUACGUAGGUGGCAAGCGUUGUCCGGAAUUAUUGGGCGUAAAGGGCUCGCAGGCGGUUUCUUAAGUCUGAUGUGAAAGCCCCCGGCUCAACCGGGGAGGGUCAUUGGAAACUGGGAAACUUGAGUGCAGAGGAGGAGAGCGGAAUUCCACGUGUAGCGGUGAAAUGCGUAGAGAUGUGGAGGAACACCAGUGGCGAAGGCGACUAUCUGGUCUGUAACUGACGCUGAGGAGCGAAAGCGUGGGGAGCGAACAGGAUUAGAUACCCGCGUAGUCCCUGUCUCUUAUAC